GCGAAAAUGUCGAACAGCUUUACAAUAUUUUAUGAGUGAUUCUGAUGAUUUGGAUAAUGAUGUUGCUUCCAAUCAACCAAAAAGGCCUAAAUUGGUUUGCAGCAGUGAUGAAGAGCAAGAGACCGUAGUCGACAAGUUUCCGUUACUUCCACCAUCACUACAAAAAUGUUCUUUACUUUAUCUUUAUUUAAAAAUUUAUACUUAUAAACUUUUUUUGUUGUUGUGUAGUCAAUACUGUUAUAUACAUUUUUCUUCUUUGAGACAAAUUUUUUAGACUUUGGUAUAGCAAAUAAUACUCUUUAAAACACUGAACUUAAAUUUAGUAAGAUCAAUGAGUAUUAUUUGUUUUGCUAACAAAGAUUUUUGCAGGACUUUACAAUAUACAUCUAAAGUAUAUCAGAUAUGUUUUAAUUAGUUUAUUUUUGCAGAUAUUUUAAAGUGUAGUUUUCUAUCAUUAAAUUUAAGUUUAUUUCCUUUUGAAGUGCCUUCAAAUCUGAAUUUCAUUGAUAAAAAGAAGCGGAGAAUCGAUAUGGAGAUUGAUCCAGUAUCGCAAACUAAAGUACCAUCGUCUCAAUCUUAUCUCCUGCAGCAUAACACAAGCAAUAGUUGCAGCAGUAAAUCUUUGGAUGACAUAGAUAGUACACCCACUGUA